rnacentral:rRNA from 1 species
GAUGAACGCUGGCGGCGUGCCUAAUACAUGCAAGUCGAGCGGACAGAUGAGGAGCUUGCUCCGUUGUCGUUAGCGGCGGGCGGGUGAGAAACACGUGUAUAACCUACCUAUAAGACUGGGAUCACUUCGGGAAACCGGAGCAAAUCCCGUAGAAUAUAUUGCACCGCAUGGGUCAAUAGUGAGAUACGGUGUUGGUGUCACUUAUAGAUGGAUCCGCGCCGCAUUAGCUAGUUGUUCAGGUAACGGCUUACCAAGGCGACUAUGCGUAGCCGACCUGUGAGGGUGAUCGGCGACAUGAGAGCUGAGACACGGUCCAUGCUACUAAGGGACGCAGCAGAAGGGAAUCGUCCGCAAUGGGCGAAAGCUUGGCGGAGCAAGCCGGCGUCAGUGAUGGAGGCGUCCGGAUCGUAAAACCCUGUUAUUAGUGAAGAACAACUGUGUCAGUAACUGUGCACGUAUUGACGGUACCUAAUCAGAAAGCCCCGGCUAACUACGUG